rnacentral:rRNA from 1 species
AAAGGGUCCGUAGGCGGUUUGGUAAGUCAGUGGUGAAAGCCCAUCGCUUAACGAUGGAACGGCCAUUGAUACUGCCAGACUUGAAUUACUAGGAAGUAACUAGAAUAUGUAGUGUAGCGGUGAAAUGCUUAGAUAUUACAUGGAAUACCAAUUGCGAAGGCAGGUUACUACUAGUGGAUUGACGCUGAUGGACGAAAGCGUGGGGAGCGAACAGGAUUAGAUACCCCAGU